GAUGAAGAACGUAGCGAAAUGCGAUACGUAAUGUGAAUUGCAGAUUUCAGUGAAUCAUCGAAUCUUUGAACGCACAUUGCGCCCGCCAGUAUUCUGGCGGGCAUGCCUGUUCGAGCGUCAUUUCAACCAUCAAGCCUUCGCUUGUGUUGGGGCCCCGCGGCUGCCGCGGUCCCCUAAAUCCAGUGGCGGGCUCGUCGUCGUACCGAGCGCAGUAGACAUCCUCACUCCGGGAACCCGACGGGUGCCGGCCGUGAAACCCCCCACAUCAAGGUUGACCUCGGAUCAGGUAGGAAUACCCGCUGAACUUAAGCAUAUCAAUAAGCGGAGGA
rnacentral:misc_RNA from 1 species